rnacentral:lncRNA from 1 species
AGCUAGGCUGCAGAAAGCAGGAUUCCUGAGGCGACAGAUGGGAGCUUCUCAGGUCAUGACAGUGGGAGAGGAUGAGCCAGUGGCUUGUCGUCUUGGGAGAGCUCCCCAGCACCGUUAAGGAAGGCGUCGCGGAUCUCAGUCUUCUUGUUUAUAUGCUUGCUAAGCAAGCUGAUGGUGUGAGGUGAAAAUGGCUGACAGACCGCCAUGGAGGGCUGCUCACCACUCCAUCUACUAUGAGCUCAGAACAAAGGGCAUCACACAACGGGAAAUUGAACAGUCAUGUCUGAUACCAAUAAAGAUACUGCUUUAUCCUCGUCCCCAA